rnacentral:rRNA from 1 species
AGCGAACGCUGGCGGCAGGCCUAACACACGCAAGUCGAGCGCCCCGCAAGGGGAGCGGCAGACGGGAGAGUAACACGUGGGAACGUACCCUUCGGUUCGGAACAACCCAGGGAAACUUGGACUAAUACUGGAUACGUCCGAAAGGAGAAAGAUUCAUCGCCGAAGGAUCGGCCCGCGUCUGAUUAGCUAGUUGGUGGGGCAAUGGCCCACCAAGGCGACGAUCAGUAGCUGGUCUGAGAGGAUGAUCAGCCUCACUGGGACUGAGACACGGCCCAGACUCCUACGGGAGGCAGCAGUGGGGAAUAGUGGACAAUGGGCGCAAGCCUGAUCCAGCCAUGCCGCGUGGGUGAUGAAGGCCCUAGGGUUGUAAAGCCCUUUCGGCGGGGAAGAUAAUGACGGUACCCGCAGAAGAAGCCCCGGCUAACUUCGUGCCAGCCGCCGCAGUAAAAC